rnacentral:pre_miRNA from 1 species
AAGCAGGGCAAUCUAUCUUUAAGUAGGGAUAAAUUACUCUUGAACAAAAUGGUCCUAGAUAGUUCUCCCUUCAAGUCAAGCAUCUUAU